rnacentral:rRNA from 1 species
UACGGAGGGUGCAAGCGUUGUUCGGAAUUAUUGGGCGUAAAGGGCAGGUAGGUGGUCUUAAAAAGUCUACUGUGAAAUCCCCCGAGCUUAACUUGGGAAGUGCGGUAGAUACUCUAAGACUAGAGUACUGGAGGGGUUCGUGGAAUUCCCGGUGUAGCGGUGAAAUGCGUAGAUAUCAGGAGGAACACCGGUGGCGAAGGCGGGUCUCUGGGCCGAUACUGACGCUGGAGGAGCGAAAGCGUGGGGAGCGAACAGG